AAUAACCACUCCUUGUACUAUAAAUAUGCAUGUAUCCCCUCUAUAAAGAGGCAUGUUUACCUGCUUUCUGUGUGCAGUUUGGGAAGGAGUUAUUUCCCCGGUACUCGGUUGGCCAAGUAAAGCGUACCUGCUCUAUAAGUAAUUCGUGGUUAUAGAGUUUGUUCUGCAAGUCGGUUUUGGCGAGCCAGGCAGGAGAACUGCUGGACCGCAGGGCUGAUCGGACCAGGGGACGCUUCUGGCGCGCCCCGAAAACAAUUUUUUUCGGCAAGACUCCCCAGGCAGACACAUCCACUGUGGGGCAAGGAAGGAGCUCCAGCACAGACCAGAUACAAAAUAUAGCAUCAUACCAGACACUCUGAAGAAAACAUUUCCA
rnacentral:lncRNA from 1 species